AGAGUUUGAUCAUGGCUCAGGAUGAACGCUGGCGGCGUGCCCAACACAUGCAAGUCGAGCGAGAACUUUGAGAAAGAAGCUUCGGUAGAUUUUUCAAAGGGAAAGCGGCGGACGGGUGAGUAACGCGUAGGCAACCUGCCCCAAACAAAGGGAUAGCAACGGGAAACUGUUAUUAAAACCUUAUGAAGUAAAGAUGCUGCAUGACAUUUUUACCAAAGAUUUAUCGGUAUGGGAUGGGCCUGCGUCUGAUUAGUUAGUUGGUGAGGUAACGGCUCACCAAGGCAACGAUCAGUAGCCGACCUGAGAGGGUGAUCGGCCACAUUGGAACUGAGACACGGUCCAAACUCCUACGGGAGGCAGCAGUGGGGAAUAUUGCACAAUGGGCGAAAGCCUGAUGCAGCAACGCCGCGUGAACGAAGAAGGCCCUUGGGUCGUAAAGUUCUGUCCAAAGGGAAGAUAAUGACGGUACCUUUGGAGGAAGCCCCGGCUAACUACGUGCCAGCAGCCGCGGU
rnacentral:rRNA from 1 species